rnacentral:rRNA from 1 species
UCUUCCUACGGGACGCAGCAGUGGGGAAUAUUGGGCAAUGGGCGCAAGCCUGACCCAGCAACGCCGCGUGAAGGAAGAAGGCUCUCGGGUUGUAAACUUCUUUUCUGGGGGACGAACAAAUGACGGUACCCCAGGAAUAAGCCACGGCUAACUACGUGCCAGCAGCCGCGGUAAUACGUAGGUGGCAAGCGUUAUCCGGAUUUAUUGGGUGUAAAGGGCGUGUAGGCGGGAAGGCAAGUCAGAUGUGAAAACUAUGG